AUUGAACGCUGGCGGCAUGCCUUACACAUGCAAGUCGAACGGCAGCAUGAUCUAGCUUGCUAGAUUGAUGGCGAGUGGCGAACGGGUGAGUAAUACAUCGGAACGUGCCCUGUAGUGGGGGAUAACUAGUCGAAAGAUUAGCUAAUACCGCAUACGACCUGAGGGUGAAAGUGGGGGACCGCAAGGCCUCAUGCUAUAGGAGCGGCCGAUGUCUGAUUAGCUAGUUGGUGAGGUAAAGGCUCACCAAGGCGACGAUCAGUAGCUGGUCUGAGAGGACGAUCGGCCACACUAGGACUUAGACACGGCCCAGACUCCUACGGGAGGCAGCAGUGGGGAAUUUUGGACAAUGGGCGAAAGCCUGAUCCAGCAAUGCCGCGUGUGUGAAGAAGGCCUUCGGGUUGUAAAGCACUUUUGUCCGGAAAGAAAUGGCUCUGGUUAAUACCUGGGGUCGAUGACGGUACCGGAAGAAUAAGGACCGGCUAACUACGUG
rnacentral:rRNA from 1 species